rnacentral:tRNA from 1 species
GGGGAUUUAGCUCAGUGGUAGAGCGCUUGCCUAGCAAGCGCCAGGCCCUGGGUUCGAUCCCCAGCUCUG